CCUACGGGUGGCUGCAGUGGGGAAUAUUGGACAAUGGGGGGAACCCUGAUCCAGCCAUGCCGCGUGUGUGAAGAAGGCCCUCGGGUUGUAAAGCACUUUCAGUGAGGAAGAACGCCUGGUGGUUAAUACCCAUCAGGAAAGACAUCACUCACAGAAGAAGCACCGGCUAACUCCGUGCCAGCAGCCGCGGUAAUACGGAGGGUGCGAGCGUUAAUCGGAAUUACUGGGCGUAAAGCGCGCGUAGGUGGCUUGAUAAGCCGGUUGUGAAAGCCCCGGGCUCAACCUGGGAACGGCAUCCGGAACUGUCAAGCUAGAGUGCAGGAGAGGAAGGUAGAAUUCCAGGUGUAGCGGUGAAAUGCGUAGAGAUCGGGAGGAAUACCAGUGGCGAAGGCGGCCUUCUGGACUGACACUGACACUGAGGUGCGAAAGCGUGGGUAGCAAACAGGAUUAGAUACCCUGGUAGUC
rnacentral:rRNA from 1 species